rnacentral:rRNA from 1 species
AGAGUUUGAUCCUGGCUCAGGACGAACGCUGGCGGCGUGCCUAAUACAUGCAAGUCGAGCGGACAGAUGGGAGCUUGCUCCCUGAUGUUAGCGGCGGACGGGUGAGUAACACGUGGGUAACCUGCCUGUAAGACUGGGAUAACUCCGGGAAACCGGGGCUAAUACCGGAUGGUUGUUUGAACCGCAUGGUUCAAACAUAAAAGGUGGCUUCGGCUACCACUUGCAGAUGGACCCGCGGCGCAUUAGCUAGUUGGUGAGGUAAUGGCUCACCAAGGCAACGAUGCGUAGCCGACCUGAGAGGGUGAUCGGCCACACUGGACUGAGACACGGCCCAGACUCCUACGGGAGGCAGCAGUAGGGAAUCUUCCGCAAUGGACGAAAGUCUGACGGAGCAACGCCGCGUGAGUGAUGAAGGUUUUCGGAUCGUAAAGCUCUGUUGUUAGGGAAGAACAAGUGCCGUUCGAAUAGGGCGGUACCUUGACGGUACCUAACCAGAAAGCCACGGCUAACUACGUGCCAGCAGCCGCGGUAAUACGUAGGUGGCAAGCGUUGUCCGGAAUUAUUGGGCGUAAAGGGCUCGCAGGCGGUUUCUUAAGUCUGAUGUGAAAGCCCCCGGCUCAACCGGGGAGGGUCAUUGGAAACUGGGGAACUUGAGUGCAGAAGAGGAGAGUGCAAUUCCACGUGUAGCGGUGAAAUGCGUAGAGAUGUGGAGGAACACCAGUGGCGAAGGCGACUCUCUGGUCUGUAACUGACGCUGAGGAGCGAAAGCGUGGGGAGCGAACAGGAUUAGAUACCCUGGUAGUCCACGCCGCAAACGAUGAGUGCUAAGUGUUAGGGGGUUUCCGCCCCUUAGUGCUGCAGCUAACGCACUAAGCACUCCGCCUGGGGAGUACGGUCGCAAGACUGAAACUCAAAGGAAUUGACGGGGGCCCGCACAAGCGGUGGAGCAUGUGGUUUAAUUCGAAGCAACGCGAAGAACCUUACCAGGUCUUGACAUCCUCUGACAAUCCUAGAGAUAGGACGUCCCCUUCGGGGGCAGAGUGACAGGUGGUGCAUGGUUGUCGUCAGCUCGUGUCGUGAGAUGUUGGGUUAAGUCCCGCAACGAGCGCAACCCUUGAUCUUAGUUGCCAGCAUUCAGUUGGGCACUCUAAGGUGACUGCCGGUGACAAACCGGAGGAAGGUGGGGAUGACGUCAAAUCAUCAUGCCCCUUAUGACCUGGGCUACACACGUGCUACAAUGGACAGAACAAAGGGCAGCGAAACCGCGAGGUUAAGCCAAUCCCACAAAUCUGUUCUCAGUUCGGAUCGCAGUCUGCAACUCGACUGCGUGAAGCUGGAAUCGCUAGUAAUCGCGGAUCAGCAUGCCGCGGUGAAUACGUUCCCGGGCCUUGUACACACCGCCCGUCACACCACGAGAGUUUGUAACACCCGAAGUCGGUGAGGUAACCUUUUAGGAGCCAGCCGCCGAAGGUGGGACAGAUGAUUGGGGUGAAGUCGAAACAAGGUAGCCGUAUCGGUAGGUGCGGCUG